rnacentral:ncRNA from 1 species
GCCCAGCUGGCCCUGUCGACUAUCCAGCGAAACCACACCCAAGGGAACGGGCUUGCCGUAAUCAGCGGGGAAAGAGGACCCUUUUGAGCUUGUCUCUCGUCCGACUUUGUGAAAUGACUUGAGAGGUGUAGGAUAAGUGGGCCCCCUUACGGGCGCAAGUGAAAUACCACUACUUUUAACGUUAUUUUACUUAUUCCGUGGGUCGGAAGCGGGGCAUG